rnacentral:rRNA from 1 species
CCCUUAGAUGUUCUGGGCCGCACACGCGCUACACUGAAGGAGGCAGCGUGUACUCCUGGAUCGAAAGAUUUGGGUAACCCGCGAAUCUCCUUCGUGCUAGGGAUUGAGGUUUGCAAUUAUCCUUCAUGAACGAGGAAUUCCCAGUAAGUGCAAGUCAUAAGCUUGCGCUGACUACGUCCCUGCCCUUUGUACACACCGCCCGUCGCUACUACCGAUUGAAUGAUUUAGUGAGGACUUCGGACUGGGACCGAUGCGGCUUUCGGGCUGCGUCGGUAUUCUGGAAAGAUGUCCAAACUGUAUCAUUUAGAGGAAGUAUAAGUCGUANCA